CCUACGGGUGGCAGCAGUGGGGAAUAUUGCGCAAUGGGCGAAAGCCUGACGCAGCGACGCCGCGUGUGGGAUGACGGCCUUCGGGUUGUAAACCACUGUCGGGAGGGACGCGGUACCUCCAAAGGAAGCACCGGCUAACUCCGUGCCAGCAGCCGCGGUAAUACGGAGGGUGCGAGCGUUGUCCGGAAUCACUGGGCGUAAAGGGCGCGUAGGCGGCCUGAUAAGUAGGGGGUGAAAUCCUGCGGCUUAACCGCAGGGCUGCCUUCUAGACUGUCAGGCUAGAGCACAGUAGAGGCAGGUGGAAUUCCCGGUGUAGCGGUGGAAUGCGUAGAGAUCGGGAAGAACAUCAGUGGCGAAGGCGGCCUGCUGGGCUGUGCUGACGCUGAGGCGCGACAGCGUGGGGAGCAAACAGGAUUAGAUACCCUUGUAGUC
rnacentral:rRNA from 1 species